GCAGGUAGAGCUCAGUGGCUAAGCACAUGUGUAGCAUGCAUGCGGUCCUGGGUUCAAUCCCUGGUACCUCCA
rnacentral:tRNA from 1 species